rnacentral:rRNA from 1 species
UAAGGAAUAUUGGUCAAUGGGCGGAAGCCUGAACCAGCCAUGCCGCGUGCAGGAUGACUGCCCUAUGGGUUGUAAACUGCUUUUGUCCAGGAAUAAACCUAGAUACGUGUAUCUAGCUGAAUGUACUGGAAGAAUAAGGAUCGGCUAACUCCGUGCCAGCAGCCGCGGUAAUACGGAGGAUCCGAGCGUUAUCCGGAUUUAUUGGGUUUAAAGGGUGCGUAGGCGGCCUAUUAAGUCAGGGGUGAAAUACGGUGGCUCAACCAUCGCAGUGCCUUUGAUACUGAUGGGCUUGAAUCCAUUUGAAGUGGGCGGAAUAAGACAAGUAGCGGUGAAAUGCAUAGAUAUGUCUUAGAACUCCGAUUGCGAAGGCAGCUCACUAAGCUGGUAUUGACGCUGAUGCACGAAAGCGUGGGGAUCGAACAGGAUUAGAUACCCUGGUAGUCCACGCCCUAAACGAUGAUAACUCGAUGUUGGCGAUAGACAGCCAGCGUCCAAGCGAAAGCGUUAAGUUAUCCACCUGGGGAGUACGCCCGCAAGGGUGAAACUCAAAGGAAUUGACGGGGUCAUAGCUGUUU